ACUGGAAACAGCUCAAUGGUGGAUGGCUGUUCUCACUGUGUUGACACUAUUGGUGCAAUGAUGUGGUGAUGAGCCAGUUUUAGUCAAUUUCACACCUUUUUUGUGCCUUUUCAUGGACAGUGUUUUCCUUUAAUUCAUGUGACAGAGCACCUAGCGUGGAUUGUAGUUAUGAUGGGUCUCACAAACACUGGAUAAAGUUGAUUCAAGAAAAGAUGUCUCCCAAAGCGUAGAGUACAUUAUCACACAUAACUGAAUGUGUCAAAAUGCUGAUGAUGACAGACAUGUCCCCAAACCACUAGUGCCAACAUCACCAUUGAGAAGAGAGAGCGGCGGUUGGAUUUCAUUGUGACCUCAGCUAACUCUUAUACCCUUCUUUCAAUCCUGGUUAUCAAAUCCGCUCAGCACCACGAGUUCUGCAAGACGGAAAUAAAUAAAGAUGUGUUUAAUAAGGGUGCGUCUUUGCAAUAUCUAAGAGAGGGAAAUGGACAUACUUUGAGAGGAUGUAUUGGAGAACAGCACUUGUGAUCUUGGCCUUUCUUACUCUUGCCAUUACAGAAAUGCGAGUGACUGGUCAAACGUUGGAUGUGUGUGCCACUUGUCACCCUAACGCCACCUGUGAGGAGAAGGUGGAUGGUACCGGCAAAGCCUGUAACUGCAUGUAUGGCUUUGUUGGUAAUGGAAGAACUUACUGUCAAGACAAAAAUGAAUGUCAGAUAGGAGCCAAUAAGAUCUGUGGGCAGCAUACUGCCUGCCAUAACACCUAUGGAAGCUACUACUGCACCUGCCUGGCAGGAUACAGCCCUUCCAACAACAUGGCCAUCUUCAUCCCCAAUGAUGGAACCCGCUGUCAGGACAUUAAUGAGUGUAGAGUCCAAGGGAUCUGUGGUGAGGGGGGUAAGUGCACGAACAUGCAGGGGUAUUUUAACUGCCUCUGCCAAGUCGGAUACCAGGUUCACAAUGGAGCAGAGCCAUUCCACCCACACCAGGACAAGGCCUUGUGCAAAGCCAUUGAUUGUGGGCAGCCUCCCUCGGCUCUGAAUGCAGUCCAGCUGUCAGCCACAGGAACACGUUAUGGCAGCGUGGCUACAUUUGGCUGCUCUGAGGGAUUCUUCUGGAAAAGCGGGGAGAACUCCUCCGUUUGUGGGGCAGAAAGUGUGUGGAAGGGCCCAAGUCUUGUUUGUGAAGAGGUUGACUGUGGCUUGCCCCCUGCCCUCCCUCACUCAGUAAUGUUGUGGGACCAGAGCACCAGGAUAGGCUCUGAGGUGCUUUAUCAGUGUAACUCUGGAUAUUACAAUGUGGGAGAGGGAAAUGUAUCAGUAUGCACUGCCAAUGGACAGUGGGACAAGUCAGCUUUGCUAUGUGAAGAGAUAACGUGUGGUGAUCCCCCUAUACUGCCCCACACUGGACAGGUGUGGAAUGGCAGCACAAACCCUGGCAGCACUGUGCUGUUUUACUGUAAAGGAGGGUUUUAUAGAGAGGGAGGGGAGAAUAUUUCCCAAUGCACUAGAGAUGGUUACUGGACAAAGGCAACGUUGUCAUGUAAAGAGGUUGACUGUGGCUUGCCCCCUGCCCUCCCUAACUCAGUAAUGUUGUGGAAUCAGAGCACCAGGAUAGGCUCUGAGGUGCUUUAUCAGUGUAACUCUGGAUAUUACAAUGUGGGAGAGGGAAAUGUAUCAGUAUGCACUGCCAAUGGACAGUGGGACCAGACAUAUUUUCUAUGUGAAGCGGUAACGUGUGGUGAUCCCCCUAUACUGCCCCACACUGGACAGGUGUGGAAUGGCAGCACAAACCCUGGCAGCACUGUGCUGUUUUACUGUAAAGAGGGAUUUUAUAGAGAGGGAGGAGGUAAUAUUUCCUACUGUACAGAAAAUGGUUUCUGGACAAAGGCAACAUUAUCAUGCAAAGAAAUAAUGUGUGGUGAUCCCCCUAUACUGCCCCACACUGGACAGGUGUGGAAUGGCAGCACAAACCCUGGCAGCACUGUGCUGUUUUACUGUAAAGAGGGAUUUCAUAGAGAGAGGGGGGGAGAUAUUUCCCAAUGCACUAAAGACGGUUACUGGACAAAGGCAACAUUGUCAUGUAAAGCCAUUGAUUGUGGGCAGCCUCCCUCGGCUCUGAAUGCAGUCCAGCUGUCAGCCACAGGAACACGUUACGGCAGCGUGGCUACAUUUGGCUGCUCUGAGGGAUUCUUCUGGAAAAGCGGGGAGAACUCCUCCGUUUGUGGGGCAGAAAGUGUGUGGAAGGGCCCAAGUCUUGUUUGUGAAGAGGUUUACUGUGGCUUGCCCCCUGCCCUCCCUCACUCAGUAAUGUUGUGGAAUCAGAGCACCAGGAUAGGCUCUGAGGUGCUUUAUCAGUGUAACUCUGGAUAUUACAAUGUGGGAGAGGGAAAUGUAUCAGUAUGCACUGCCAAUGGACAGUGGGACCAGACAUCUUUUAUAUGUGAAGAGAUUGACUGUGGGGAGCCAGUGUUUAUAUCCCAUGCUAAGAUGCUAUGGGACCGGACAUCGUUGAUUGGUAGUGUGGUUUAUUACCAAUGUGUUGAAGGAUAUUACUCCACGAGUGGGAAAUGUUAUACUGAGUGUGGAGAGAAUGGACUUUGGGAGGAUAUAGAACUUCAAUGUGAAGAGUUAAACUGUGGGGCUCCACUAACCCUUCCCCAUACUAACAUGCUGUGGGACAAUACAACUGUCCUGGGCAGUGUGAUUGAGUAUGUAUGUAAGGAUGGAUUUUACCAGGAGGGAGGAAAUAGUCUCUCAACAUGUACAUCAUCAGGACAGUGGGGAAUUGUUUCAAUAAUAUGCAAAGCUACAUGUGGACCGGCCCCUGCUCUGGUCAAUACAGAGGUGGUGUUGCAGAACACAAGUGUUGUGUUCCAUCGUUGUCUGGAAGGAUUCCACAGCUGGAGAGGAAGAAACACCUCUGUUUGUGACAUCACUGGGAAGUGGCAAGCUGCCACAAUGCGAUGCAGAGAAAUCAAGCCUGCCAUCAGCGACUUGGUUGUCUUUAAUGAAAAAUGUUUGCGUUGGAAAGCAGACAAGUAUGAAGAAGACACAGAGAAUUACAGAAUAGCAUUUGUGGGAUUCAGGGCCUAUCAAAGGUCAUUCCAUGACAAGAGGAAGAAGCUCCUCAGCUCCACAUCAGACCACCCUGAGAUCUGCCUGAACCUGCUGCCUGUUACCAACUACACCAUCAGCAUCACUGCACUGUCUGCCAGGUUCACCUCCACACUCACAACAAACACCAGCCUACAAGUGCCUCAAGCCCCAGAGAUUUUAUACAGGGAAAUUGAGGCUCCAUUGCCCACUUUGUGGCUACGCAGAUCAGUUAACACUCUGGACCCAAUUAGUUUCUACCAGGUGUUUGUGUUGCCACUGGAGGGGACUCUUGUGUUUGACUGCAGCUCUCCGAAGACCCCAGACUUCUCCAGUCAGAGGAAACCCCAUGGACAGUACAUCACUGCCCAGCUCCAUCUGAGGGAUAUAGGGAAAGAGAUGAACCUGACAUUGGGCGAUGGACACUACUAUGGAGGGUUCUACAAUGCUCCUUUACAGAACGGCAGAGACUAUUACGUCAUAUUACGAGCUGUCAGUCAAUGGGGAGGGGCUUUCAAGCACUCUUGUGUUAUUUGGGCAAAAGUGAGAGAUAAAUCCUACAUAAUGAAGGUUUCAUCGCUUUUUGCUGGAGGAUCAAUUGGAGUCUUUGCUUUGGCCAUUUUUCUGGGACACUGUUACACCUGAUGAACGUGGUACCUUAAGGCAUUUGGAAAUUGCUCCCAAGGAUGAACCAGACUUGUGGAGGUCUUGGCUGAUUUCUUUUGAUUUUCCCAUGAUGUCAAGCACUGAGUUUGAAGGUUUUGUAAGAAGACAAGACAGUCAUCGUGAGGACUGACUUUUUAAAUUGUGUCACACUUGGUUUAUAUUAGCAUAACGUUCAACGACAUUUACCUGUAAUAUUGUAACUGUGUAAAAAUGUGUUUUGUAUUGUAGUUGUUUUCUGUAGUAAAAUAAAGGAAAAAAAAUGUUUUA